CUAACCUGCCCACUGAUUUAUUAAAGGGCCGCGGUAUAUUGACUGUGCAAAGGUAGCAUAAUCAUUUGUCUUUUAAUUGAAGGCUAGAAUGAAUGGUUGAAUGAAGUAUUGACUGUCUCAUUAUAAAAAAUAUAAAAAUUUAAUUUUUUAGUCAAAAAGCUAAAAUUUAAUUAGAGGACGAGAAGACCCUAUAGAUCUUUAUAUAAUUAAAUAUAAAAAUUUUAUUGAAUAUUAUAUAUUUUUAUAAAUAUUUAUAUUUUGUUGGGGUGACAGGAAGAUUUAAUAAACUAUUUUUAUAAUAAAACAAAAAUAAUUGAUUUUUUGAUCCAAUAAUAUUGAUUAAAAGUUUAAGUUACCUUAGGGAUAACAGCGUAAUUUUUUUGGCGAGUUCAUAUUAAUAAAAAAGAUUGCGACCUCGAUGUUGAAUUAAAGAU
rnacentral:rRNA from 1 species